rnacentral:rRNA from 1 species
UGGGGAAUAUUGGACAAUGGGCGAAAGCCUGAUCCAGCCAUGCCGCGUGUGUGAAGAAGGUCUUCGGAUUGUAAAGCACUUUAAGUUGGGAGGAAGGGCAUUAACCUAAUACGUUAGUGUUUUGACGUUACCGACAGAAUAAGCACCGGCUAACUCUGUGCCAGCAGCCGCGGUAAUACAGAGGGUGCAAGCGUUAAUCGGAAUUACUGGGCGUAAAGCGCGCGUAGGUGGUUUGUUAAGUUGGAUGUGAAAUCCCCGGGCUCAACCUGGGAACUGCAUUCAAAACUGACUGACUAGAGGAUGGUAGAGGGUGGUGGAAUUUCCUGUGUAGCGGUGAAAUGCGUAGAUAUAGGAAGGAACACCAGGGGCGAAGGCGACCACCUGGACUAAUACUGACACUGAGGUGCGAAAGCGUGGGGAGCAAACA